rnacentral:lncRNA from 1 species
ACUGAAAAUAGGAGUAUAUCGACUCCUAGAACAGUGAGUAAACUUACUAUUGUCUUAAUUAUCUAGAGUAGAUUUAUUUAAUUGUGUGAUUUUAUGAAAAAAUGGUUUAAUUGGAAAAUUAUUGUGUUUUAUGGGAAAAUGAGAUUUUAUAAAAUAAUUUUAUAAAAUUUUUGCAAACUUAAUAAUGAUUUCAAAAAUAGAGUAAUUGGAGACCUAUACUAUGAUUGUGUUGUUUAUCUAUGAUUUUACAUUAAAUAGCUUAUGAUAAAUGUGGGUAUGACUGGUUAUUUUUAUGAUUUUAAGAAUAUGUGAACUGUGUGUUAAGUGAGCCAUGUCAUACUAUUGUGAUUUUAUUGGUUGGUGGAUUAUAAAGUGGGCACUGCAGUGACGGGGGUUUCGUGGGCCAGCCUAAUUAGAGGGGCACGGUUCCCAAUUAUUGAGCUUACCUCGAUUGGAGAGGCGCGUAGGAUAACUCCCGAGGUAGGAUUUGAGUACACUUCACGUUGGCCACCACGUGAAACUAGGACUCAACCAAUGCCGAGGAACGGCUGUGUUGUCAGAGGUGAAAUGUGUUUGUGUGUGUGACAAUAAACAGCCUUGGUAGUCUCGGUAAGAUGCCUUCGCGGGGUAUCCCCGAGAAUGGAUUUUUGGCAAGGGCCAACUUUUUGAAAGGUGCAUAAGCCAUGUUGAGUAAUUGGAUGAAAUCCAAUUAUUUAUAUGUGAUGGGAUGAAUUAUUUUAUUUGUCUCCUAUUACUUGGCUUUAGAUUAUUUUGAUGAUGUCUGUCUACUCACUGGGAUUUUAUAAUCUCACCCCUUCUUCCUAUCCAUUUUUCAGGCUCAGGACAAUUUGUUGAUAGUUGAUUAAGACAAGAAUUAAUCUCGGAGUUGCAUCUUAGAAAGUAAGGGUUCGUAACCCUACAUUUUCUUAGUCAGUUGAGGGCCCACGUGUCACUGUAAAAGUAAUUUUAUUCUUCAGUUAUUUAAUUUAAAAUAUGUAUGAAUAUAUUUAGCUUUUACACCAUGUUUUUGGCGAGUUUCGGUAUUUUCGAAGAAAAUUGAUGAAAAUGCCCUUGUGAGUCAAAAAGUAAUAUUUUAUUUUUUUGAUUUGAAAAUGACUUAUGAUUUUUUUUGAAAUGUGAGAUUUAAUAAUUGUCGCUCACUGGGGAGAUGCAGAAGCUGAUGCUAAGCCUUGCGGGGUUUCGAUCGGCAUUCGGGGUAAUGAGUG